rnacentral:rRNA from 1 species
GUGUCAGCCGCCGCGGUAAUACGUAGGGUGCGAGCGUUAAUCGGAAUUACUGGGCGUAAAGCGUGCGCAGGCGGCUCUAUAAGACAGAUGUGAAAUCCCCGGGCUUAACCUGGGAACUGCGUUUGUGACUGUAGGGCUAGAGUGCGGCAGAGGGGGGUAGAAUUCCACGUGUAGCAGUGAAAUGCGUAGAGAUGUGGAGGAAUACCGAUGGCGAAGGCAGCCCCCUGGGUCGACACUGACGCUCAUGCACGAAAGCGUGGGGAGCAAACAGGAUUAGAUACCCUGGUAGUCCACGCCCUAAACGAUGCGAACUAGGUGUUGGGGAAGGAGACUUCCUUAGUACCGCAGCUAACGCGUGAAGUUCGCCGCCUGGGGAGUACGGUCGCAAGAUUAAAACUCAAAGGAAUUGACGG